GUGUGCUAAAGUUUUGUUCCAUUUUUCACUAGUUGGUUAAGGUUUGGUAGAAUUGUUUGGAUGCUAGCGACGUGAUGGCGUAUGUACAAAAGCCUACCGUGGCCAGGCCACAGUUGCGACGGCCAGGACCAGAUGGCCUAGUGUGAGUGCAACCUUGAUUGCAUUUGUAUACUGUUUACCAUUGGAUGUUUAUGCAAUUUGGCUUAAUUCAUCCGCAGUAAAGCUGCAUUUGACUAUUCCAGGGUUGUUUUGUACAGGCUUUCAAUUGACCAUGUUGACUAGUCUGUGGGAAGUUUUUUUUUUUUUUUUACCUUUGCUUACAAUCCAACGGUUGUGACCACUUAUGCAACUGGGCUGUGAACCUUGCAAUUCUAGUUGCAUAUUUGUACACGCAAGCUUGUCCAUUUCUAUCGCCAUCACUAACACUAGCUUCAGCAUUUCCUUGUAGGCCAUUAGCUGACUUGUGUAUUAGAGAGAUGAUUUGGGUAUUUUAAGAUGCUUGAAAACCUAAAAUAAAGCAAAAUGCGUGUCUGGUGUGCAAGAGCCAAUUUGUUGGCUUGCAGUAGUCGAGGAGUUGCCGUAGAUCGUAAUCCAUCUCGAGGUUGUGGCAAUGGAGGCUUGUGGUAGAUCUGCCAUCCAAGAAAGGUUAAUUCUUCUGAAGCAUGAUCAAUAGUUUAGUCAAUUGAAUCUAUUCAUAUAGAACUAUGAAAUCCAAGACUGCAGCCAGUAACUUGGAUCGCAAUAUGUGGAAAGUAUUAGUCUUCAUUUGUAACAACAGAAUAAUUAACAUGACUAACUGGGUUUCUUCCAUUUUCUAACCAGGGGGACUUGACUGAGUCUCUACUGGAUUAAUCAGUAGCGGUACUUUGCCCAACAGAUUUGAUGGCAUGACUACAGGUUGGUGGUUCAACACUGAUGUCUCUCUAGGCUUGAGGGAGAGCUCACAAGUAAAUUACACAAAUGUCCUGGAGCAAUUGGGAAUACACUUUUAUUUAGUCUACCUGACCAGGGACAUCUUUGAACUAUAGGUCACCUAACCCAAACUUUUCACUCUUGUUAGGUUGUCCUUUUCUCUUGUUUUAACCCGAAAGGGCUGAAAUAUCAACAUUUCAGCUAUUCUGUUUGGAUAAUGUGCAAAACUUGUGGCUUCACUAAUAAAAAAAAUGAACAAAUGUAUUUUUCUUAAUGUGGUUAAACUAACUAAAGAUUUGUAUG
ensembl:lncRNA